rnacentral:rRNA from 1 species
GUGGGGAAUAUUGGACAAUGGGCGAAAGCCUGAUCCAGCCAUGCCGCGUGUGUGAAGAAGGUCUUCGGAUUGUAAAGCACUUUAAGUUGGGAGGAAGGGCAGUAAGUUAAUACCUUGCUGUUUUGACGUUACCGACAGAAUAAGCACCGGCUAACUUCGUGCCAGCAGCCGCGGUAAUACGAAGGGUGCAAGCGUUAAUCGGAAUUACUGGGCGUAAAGCGCGCGUAGGUGGUUUUGUAAGUUGGAGGUGAAAUCCACGGGCUCAACCUGGGAACUGCAUCCAAAACUGCAUGACUAGAGUACGGUAGAGGGUAGUGGAAUUUCCUGUGUAGCGGUGAAAUGCGUAGAUAUAGGAAGGAACACCAGUGGCGAAGGCGACUACCUGGACUGAUACUGACACUGAGGUGCGAAAGCGUGGGGAGCAAACAGGAUUAGAUACCCUAGUAGUCC